AAUAGAAUGGCUGAUUAAGGCGAUAAAUUGUAAAUUUAUUUAUGAAAAUUUUUUUUUCUUUUAUUA
rnacentral:tRNA from 1 species